rnacentral:rRNA from 1 species
UACGUAGGGACCAAGCGUUGUUCGGAUUUACUGGGCGUAAAGGGCGCGUAGGCGGCGUGACAAGUCACUUGUGAAAUCUCCGGGCUUAACCCGGAACGGCCAAGUGAUACUGUCGUGCUAGAGUGCAGAAGGGGCAAUCGGAAUUCUUGGUGUAGCGGUGAAAUGCGUAGAUAUCAAGAGGACCACCUGAGGUGAAGACGGGUUGCUGGGCUGACACUGACGAUGACAGCGCGAAAGCUAGGGGAGCAAACGGG